GCAGCUACCAUGCAGCCGAGCGGUAGAGAUCUUUCGGGAUCUUGAGAGCGGCGUACGGGUGCGGAACACGUGUGCGACCUGCCUUUAUCUGGGGGAUAGCCUUUCGAAAGGAAGAUUAAUACCCCAUAAUAUACUGGAUGGCAUCAUUCGGUAUUGAAAACUCCGGUGGAUANAGAUGGGCACGCGCAAGAUUAGAUAGUUGGUGAGGUAACGGCUCACCAAGUCUGCGAUCUUUAGGGGGCCUGAGAGGGUGAUCCCCCACACUGGUACUGAAACACGGACCAGACUCCUACGGGAGGCAGCAGUGAGGAAUAUUGGACAAUGGGUGAGAGCCUGAUCCAGCCAUCCCGCGUGAAGGACGACGGCCCUAUGGGUUGUAAACUUCUUUUGUAUAGGGAUAAACCUACCCUCGUGAGGGUAGCUGAANGUACUAUACCAAUAANCACCGGCUAACUCCGUGCCAGCAGCCGCGGUAAUACGGAGGGUGCAAGCGUUAUCCGUGAUUUAUUGGGUUUAAAGGGUCCGUAGGCGGAUCUGUAAGUCAGUGGUGAAAUCUCACAGCUUAACUGUGAAACUGCCAUUGAUACUGCAGGUCUUGAGUGUUGUUGAAGUAGCUGGAAUAAGUAGUGUAUCGGUGAAAUGCAUAGAUAUUACUUAAAACACCAAUUGCGAACGCAGGUUACUAAGCAACAACUGACGCUGAUGGACGAAAGCGUGCGGAGCGAACAGGAUUAGAUACCCUGGUAGUCCAUGCAGUAAACGAUGGUAACUCGUUUUUGGAGCGCAAGCUUCAGAGACUAACCGAAAGUGAUAAGUUAGCCACGUGGGGAGUACGAACGCAAGUUUGAGACUCAAAGGAAUUGACGAGAGGCCCGCACAAGCGCUGCGAUUAUGUGGGUUUAAUUCUAUGAUACACGAGGAAGCAUUACCAAAGGCUUAAAUGCGACAUUGACACGUUUAGAAAUAUUACCUUUUACUUCGGACAUUUUUCA
rnacentral:rRNA from 2 species